GUCAGUAGUAAUUAUGCAGGCACCUAUGGGAGAGGACUGGGAGGGAGAUGAAAGCUCUGUGAAACCAGAACAUGAACAAAGCCUGAAACAGAAAGAGGGGUCCAGUGCUUGAACGCCACACCAUGACAGACAACCUUUGGGACUGUUCUUAUUCAGCUGCCAGGAGCCUUUUAGGAUUCGUUUUAUCUGCUCUGCCUUCCCAUACGCCUGCCCCUCUGGAUGGUCCUCCACAUGAUUUGUGUCCAGUUUGGCUUCACUUGAGCCAACACAGCAGACACACUCUGACUCCUCUGCAAUCAGCCUGUCUGUCUUGUGUUUGAAAGCUGUUAAACCUCUUUUCUGCAUGAGUGGGUUUGUUUGCAUUUAAUUGAAAUGUCACUUCAGGCUGUAUGUUUCAAACGCUGAAUUUGAAAUCUAGUUUAAUACAUACAAUUAGUUGUUGUUUUUUUUAAUCUGAUUUUUUAUUUUCUUGGCGGGAUUCCUGUUUGAAAAACAUUCUGUGAUUGGUCAAAGACGACUACAGCCAUGCUAGGGCAGUGCUAAUAUGCUCAUAGUGAAAAUGCUAAUAUGGAUGAUGCUAAGUGGUAAUCAGAUACAGUGGACUGAUUGUAGAACAAAUGACCCAGGGCAGUCCAGCUGCACAGGAGUACGGUUUCAACCCUCAAAUGAUGAUGUCACCGCUCCCAUGUGACAGGGCUCAGUUUCACUGUCAGAUCAAUUAUUCACAGCAUUUAAUUGGAUCAGCUGAAUCCAGAUCGCUCCAGGGAUCCAUUUCCAGUAACAGCAGCUACAAAUAAACCCUGAGCCAGCACACAAGACACAAGGCUCCAGAUCAGUAUCCGCACAACAUCCGACAACAGCACACCUCACUGACUUUAUAAAAAUUACCCAUGUGACAUGCAAGUUGGCUUUAUUGAAGGAAAUAAUCCAUAUGUCAAAGUAUACAUUUCAUUCUUUUUAGUUAAAUCUGGGUUGUUCCACUUUGUAACAGGAGGAGGGAGUGAAGGUGAUGAUCUCAGAGCACUGGGUGAAGGCCAGACUCUGAUGCUGCUGCAUUCAUUAAUCACACAGUCGCAUACAGUGGCGUUCCCAGCCUCUUAGUCAUCAGAUAUUCCCCUGGCCUCUGCUCUACUCCCACCUCCAGGCCUUCCAGUCAAAGGUGGCCUUUGUGCUGGGGGGGGGUCAGAGCUGACCACAGCAGACAGUCCUACUCCCCCCAUUAGUACUGGAUUUCAGGAUACAGACUAUAGCACAGAGAGCCUUCCAUUCACAAAGUGGGGGAUCAGAACACAAGGCCUGUAUCUUUGUGGAAAUGAAGAAAGAGCAGCCCAUUGAUCUUCGGUCUUAGGAUGGUAGUCACACAUGCAAAGGUCUCAGGAAAGCUACUUUUCCAACUAAACACAGACAUCUUUGUUUUCACAUGAAACCCUCAGUGUUUAUCUUCUCUUCUUUCAAAUGUUAACUAAGUGUUAACCACUGUAGAAACAAUUUAUUUAGCAUUAGUUUCAUAUAUUUUAUACCCGACUCAUUUUUAUUAAUAAGUAUGCAGGUAUGUCAGUGAAUGGUCGUGCUAAUCACCAAAAGCCCUAAGUUGGUAAGUGAAAGGCCUCUGGUUCUCAUCGUCGUGAAAUUGUCCUGAAGGUAUGAAUACGUCUCUUUCAUUCCCUCCAUGUAUGUAGUCUUCCACCACCUAUAGAGGCAGAACUCACAAAGUGCUAAGUGUCUUUUGAGAGGUUUAUGCUCUUUAGCAAAAUGUAAAAAAAAAGAACCUAGCUGUUAUUCCAUUCAUGUCAUAUCCUUUUAACUAGAGAAAUGACUAGAGAAUGAAGGCUUAUGGUACUCAGUGACCUUAAAAACACUGAAGCAAAGCUAGUUAUAAACCUCUUUAUAAGUUUACUUCAUAAUGACUGCAACUCAAGUGGCCCCUUCGAACUCUAGCAUUAGCAGCAGUACAAGCAUUGCCCCAAAAUCUAAACACAAUUAAAAAUCAAUGGGAUUUCUGCAUGGAUUAGAGUGGGCACAGAGUGCUGAUUAAUGUUUUCCCAGAUUCUAAUUCUAUUAAUCGUGUGUGCUCAGGGCGAAGGCCGCCUCAGCUGAUGUACAACCAGCAGCUCCGCAGGGUGCAUUGACCUUGUGACUCAGGACCUUUUCUGUUUCCCUUCAACCUUAGUCUUCUAUGAGGAUUAGUUUAGCUUUAGUCUUAGCAAGGUUGGAACAAGAAAACAUGGGCACAGCAGGCCUUAAAAAUACUUAAAAUCACAGAAAAUGCCUUUAUAUGUUAGACCUUCUAUUCAUGUCCUUGUACCUGUCUUUCUGUGUGCAAGUGAGGACCUUCCAGCAAUCAAGUGCUCACAAUGGCUUUCACAAUAUUGAUGGUGCUAGGCAUAGUAAGCACGGGACAGUUACAUAUUCAGAGUACUGUAUUUAUAUGAUAAAAGAGACAUUAUCUUAGGCCAGCAGAGACUGCUGACUUGCUCUUCAUAAAUAAAGCAGCAUGUGACAUGCUAUGUGUGUCAGAAGCUGCUGUUCAUUCAUAUUAUGAAAUAUGUGAUUCAGUUUUGCACUUGACUUGCCAGAGUAUGUACAAUAAUGUUUAGUAAGGCAUAUGGGACAUUAUAUAUAGAAUGGUUGGUACUGUGUGGGCGUUCACUGGAACAUUGCUGUUUGAACAUUUCCCUGGUUUUUGAAUACAUGCCCUGAAUUGGGCAUUUUAAAUAUUUGAAUUAACUUACCAUACUGUGUACUGACUUAUCAUUUGCUGAAAUGUUGUGCUUGUCCAUUACCUCUGUUUUUGCAGUUAGCUCUAAAAUGAAUUACAUUCACAUCAGCCUCAGUUGUACUUUAAUGCUAAUUAACAAAUGUUAGCUCUCAGUACAAUAGUAAACAUCUGCAUGUUUGCGUUGGUAUUGUGAGUUUUUGCAUGCUUAUUUUAACAUUUAUCUCACAGCCUCUGAGCACAGCCACACAGAGCUGCAAGCACUGCUAUAAAUGCUUACUCAUGUUUUUCUGAAAAUAAAAACUGGUG